rnacentral:rRNA from 1 species
GACGAACGCUGGCGGCGUGCUUAACACAUGCAAGUCGAACGGAAAGGCCCUGCUUUUGUGGGGUGCUCGAGUGGCGAACGGGUGAGUAACACGUGAGUAACCUGCCCUUGACUUUGGGAUAACUUCAGGAAACUGGGGCUAAUACCGGAUAGGAGCUCCUGCUGCAUGGUGGGGGUUGGAAAGUUUCGGCGGUUGGGGAUGGACUCGCGGCUUAUCAGCUUGUUGGUGGGGUAGUGGCUUACCAAGGCUUUGACGGGUAGCCGGCCUGAGAGGGUGACCGGCCACAUGGGGACGGGGAAACGGCCCAGACUCCUACGGGAGGCAGCAGGGGGGAAUAUUGCAAAAGGGGCGGAAGCCUGAUGCAGAAACGCCGGGUGCGGGAGGACGGCCUUGGGGUGGUAACCCGUUUUCCCCGGUGACGAAGGGUGGGUGACGGUAAUGGGAAAAGAAGCACCGGCUAACUACGU